rnacentral:pre_miRNA from 1 species
AAGCGAUGGGACACAAGGUGAUGACCUAUGAAUUGACAGCCAGUGAUUUCAACCAUCUGCCUGUCAGUUCUGUAGGCCACUGCUGCGUUUGUUCCUCU